rnacentral:lncRNA from 1 species
CACAACACAAGCAAAACCCUAUCUAUCAAAAGAAGCAUAUAACUAUAUAUUUUACCAAUCUUCAUGGAAAGAAAAAUGUCAUUUGAAGAAGUUGAAUCAAACUCUAUGACAUCAAAUUCUAAUAGCUCCUUCAAUGAUAAUGGUGUUCCUCAUCGAUCAGAAAAGUUUCAAUCAAGUUCUUUGGGACAUUAUUUCCUUUCUCAUCAACCCAAAACUUUGGUAUGUCCAAUAUAAACAUCAUAUGUAUAUAUUUGGUAUUUCAUGCCUUCGUGAUGAAGUGUUUUUGUUUCAUAUUGUCUAUCAUUUAAAUGAAUGUUUUAGUCCAGAAUAUUUGAGUCUAAUUUGGAAGAACUUCAUUCUUUCUCUUUAACACACCAUGUUAAUAUCAUGCAUGUCAAUAAAUUUUACACUAGACUACUUGUUAUCUCUAAGACAAACAUUAUGAUAAUCCAGGAAGAAGACAAGAUGAUCAGGAAAAAACUUCAAGAACUAAAGGAAGAAGUAAGAAGCAUGUUUGUCACUACUAAUAAAUUUUCAAAAAAACUAAGUUUAAUUGAUUCAAUCCAACGUUUAGGCUUGUCUUACCAUUUUGAUGAUGAAAUAAAUGAAGUUUUAAUGUUAAUGAAAAAUCCUUGCAAUGUUGACGACGAACAUGAGGAUCUUUAUAUUACGGCUCUUAGAUUCCGAUUACUGCGACAACAAAGGUUUCUUUGUUUCAUGUGGUAAGUGAUCCUCUCCAACCAAUUUUUACCAAUAUAUUUACUUUUUUCUAGUAGGAACUUUAGAUUCAAAAUAUUAACAUAUAUAACAACAUUUAAAAAAAUUGUAAAUAUAGUAAAAUCCGUCAAAACCUAUUACUGAUCAACUGCGUGUGGCAAAUAUUGGUCUAUCUAUAUUUACAAUUUCUUUAAAAAAUAUUUAUAUACUCUUAAUUAUUAUUCUUAAAAUUUCUUCCAAAAUAUAGCAAUACUCAUUUUUAACUCCUUACCCUUUCCAUAAAUUCUCUCAAUAUUUUGUAUUCAAUGUUAGUUUUUAAUAAUCCUUGAAUUUAGACCAUUUCUAAAGUUCAAAAGGCUCAAAAAUUGAAAUUCCAAUUUUUUUGUCUAGAGUUUACAAACGUUUAAAAAUGCAUUAUAGAUAUCUUGUUAAAAGUGUAAUAAUUUAGUAAGAUUUGGUGGAAAAAACUCAGUUAUUAACAACCUUUUGUUGAAUUAACUUAUAAAAACAGAGAUAUUCAAUAAGUUUACGAAUGAAAGGGGAGAAUUGAAAGAAUCAAUAAGAAAGGAUGAAAAUAGUUUAUUAAGUUUGUAUGAAGCGUCCCAUUUGAGAAUGAAAGGAGAAAAUAUAUUGGAUGAAGCAUUAGCUUUCACAACUACUCAUCUUAAAGCAAUGGCCAUGGAUUCCAACUCUCCAUUCUUUGAAGAAGCAAAAUAUGCAUUGAAGUGGCCAAUUUAUAAAGCUGUGCAAAGGUUUAUGGCUAGGCACUAUAUCUCUCUCUAUAGCAACAAUCCAUUGAAGAACAAUAAUGCUUUGCUCACUAUAAUUCUCUCCAAAAACUUUACCAGUAAGAACUAAGUGAACUUUCAAGGUGAAACUUCCUAUUGAUCAGCAUGUUCCUAGAUUCGUUGAACUUUGUCAAUUUUCACUCGUUUCCAAGGCCUUCUUGGAUUAACUGUAUAGAGAAAUAGCAGCCUUUUUCGAUAAAAUCAUUUUAUUUAAACUUCUUUCAUAAAAAUUGAAAAAUUAUUUUAAAUUACAAAAAUACUAAAAAUAUUUAUAAAUACAACAAAAUAUAGCUACAAUCUAUUUGCAAUAGACAACUAUCUAUUUCUCUAUCAAUAAACACAUAUAGUAGUCUAUCGUAGAUAAACGAUAACUUUUAGUUAUAUUUAUAAAUAUUUUAGUUCAUUUUGACUAUAUUUAAAAAUAAUCCUAAAAGCUAUUUAAAAUUAACUUUGAUAAUGUUUCAUAAACUACUUACCAUCGUGAGUGGUCGUUAAACGCUACCAUUUUUUUUCGAAAUGAAUUAUUUUCAAAUUAUUUUAUUAUAUUUUUUAAUACAAUUGUUUUCAAAACUAAAGGUUAGAAAGGUUAAACCAAACACCCCCACUACCUUACAAAAUCAAUAAUAUAAUUUUGUGAAUGUAAAUAUGUUAGGCGGUGGAAUAAGCAUAAGUUCGUGUAAUAAUUACAUUUUGCAAGGCAUGGUGGUGGUGGAGUGCUAUCUUUGGGCAUUAUUGGAAGCAUAUCUAUUUAAUUCCUAUUUCAACCAAAUCAAAUAAUCUUUACAAUAAACGUCCAAUAAAUUAAAUAUAAUUAAAUAAAGCUAAGAUAAUUAUCUCUAAAAAUUAUCUUAGAUUUUAAGCGCGUUGCAGUUCGAGAGCACGAUAGAUUGGAGUACUUCCUUAUGGAACUCUAAUGGAAAAUUAAUAGACAUCUACUGAACUAGUUGUGGGUCUCUUACUGAGUAUAUAUGUUUAUACUCACUCUUUUUAUAUUUAAUUUUUCAGGCCAAGGUGAGGUAGAGGAAAAGUGGCGAAUGACAAGAAGUGACUGUGACUUGCCACAGGAAAUAUCUUAUGUUGCUUCUGCCUUUCAUGUUUUCAAUAUUUGAUUUUUAGUAUUUUAUUGAAUGUUAUCAAACUCAUUGAAUAAUUUUAUGUUAUUUUUCUUUAAAAGUUAGAUAGGGCAUGAACACUAGGACUAAAUUUUCUAGUAUUUAAUUCCAUCUUUCCAAAUUAUGAACUAUGAAAGAGGAUUUUAAUUGAGAAAUAUUUUUUUAAAAUACAAAAUUUGUUAUUUAUUUAAUUAGUAAUGACCUCAGUUUAGUAUAAAAAGUUGAGUCGUUAUACCAUCGACACACAAUAAUUAAGGGUACCUCAUCACAUGAUCUUAAUGGAAAGUUAGCAGACAGUUAGCGGGACUAGUAAUGGAUCUCUUACUGGGUAUAUUUCAUAUACUCACUUUUUUCAUGUUUAUUAUUUCAGGCAAAGGUAGAGGUAGAGAAAGCUCGCGAGCAACAGAAAAGGCCCAUGACAUGGUAUAUGGGGACUCAGUUUUGCUUUCACUUUUCAUUGUUCAUUUUCGGUGUUUUGAGCUUAAACAUUUUGAUCUAUUACUUUUUAUUACAUUUAAAGUUGUAAAACAAGUGGCAAUAUGUUUUCAUGGUAUUUUUAAUGUAAACUUAGUUAUUUUUUUUCAGGAAAGUGUCAAAAUUGUUAUUUAUCUUUAAGGUAAUGACCCAACUCAUCUUAGUAUAAAGAAUUGGAUCGUUACAUAGUAAACUAGUCUGUAUGAUUUUAUCUUUAUAUACCAAUACUUUCUAUCAGAAUGUUUAACUAGAAAAAAUAUCUUUUAUUAACAAAGAUACUAACUUUUCAUUAAAAUAAAUAAGCUUACAAACCAAAAAGAGCAAAAAGUGUAUACCUCAAAUUAGGUAAUGUUUACAUGUGGCCAAAUCUUUUACGUAGCCUCUCUACACCAUCCAAUUUUAAUGAAACGCUCUCCACUCCUAUAUCAACUAUUUCUUCACGUUAAUUCUUAUGAUUAUGACAUGCUCCUUAUCAAAUUUUUAGAAAAGGAUACUGGAUAGUCAGUAUGCGCACACAAGCAUCCCUACUAGGUGGACAACCUUUUAAUGUCCUCAUCAUUCCUAAGAUUAUAUUCAAUAAAGAACCGAAGAAAAAUGUUCAAAUUACAGGAAGGCUAGAAUCACACCCUUUUUAGUCUUUGUAUUUAUGGAGCAUAUGUUGUUGAUUAAUGCCAGAAAGUUAUCAUCAGUGUGCUCCCAAUCAAAAUGAGUCUUUUUUUCUUGUAUAGAAUGCACCAAUUGGGAUUGAGACAAUGAUUUUUUAGUCUCCCUUGAAUAGUCUCCACAGUGGAAAUACCUUUGUAUGCAGUUGUUGAGGGGAAAAAUUUGCAUUUUUUAGGGACUUUUGAUUUCCAUAAGUUCUUGAAUGAAGCUGUUAAUUCUGAGGCAGCAACAUGGGUGACAUUUGUGAGGAUCAGCAUAAAGUAAAAAUUUUAGAUUAUAUCAAUAAUAAACAUUGAUGGCCACUGAUAUGCUUCUAUCAACAGCAUUGAAAAGUCGUGACAGAAGUCUAUCAAUAGCUGUCACUGAAAGAAUAAAAAAAUUUGCUAUAACUUAUAAAUAUUUUAAUUUAUUUUGUUAUUUUUAAAAAUGCUUCUAAAAUAUAUACUGAAUCUACAAUAGGUCAAAUAUCACGUGGUAUGUUUAUGUCAAACGUUGUACACCAAUAAUUUCAGUGAAUGACUGUACACUCCUAACACCAAUAAUAUCUUCACCUUCUUAUCACUAUCCAAUGCAUCUUAUAAAUUUCAUUAACAUAGUUAAACUCACAACACAAGCAAAACCCUAUCUAUCAAAAGAAGCAUAUAACUAUAUAUUUUACCAAUCUUCAUGGAAAGAAAAAUGUCAUUUGAAGAAGUUGAAUCAAACUCUAUGACAUCAAAUUCUAAUAGCUCCUUCAAUGAUAAUGGUGUUCCUCAUCGAUCAGAAAAGU